AUAUCAAUAAGCGGAGGAAAAGAAACCAACAGGGAUUGCCUUAGUAACGGCGAGUGAAGCGGCAACAGCUCAAAUUUGAAAUCUGGCCCUCGGGUCCGAAUUGUAAUUUGUAGAGGAUGAUUUUGGUGCGGUAUCUUCCGAGUUCCUUGGAACAGGACGCCUUAGAGGGUGAGAGCCCCGUACGGUUGAAUGCCUAGCCUCUGUAAAUCUCCUUCGACGAGUCGAGUAGUUUGGGAAUGCUGCUCUAAAUGGGAGGUAAAUUUCUUCUAAAGCUAAAUAUUGGCCAGAGACCGAUAGCGCACAAGUAGAGUGAUCGAAAGAUGAAAAGCACUUUGAAAAGAGGGUUAAAUAGCACGUGAAAUUGUUGAAAGGGAAGGAUUUGUGACCAGACUUUUUCUGGGCGGAUCAUCCGGGGUUCUCUCCGGUGCACUUUGCCCAGUAAAGGCCAGCAUCGAUUUUCGGCGGCGGAUAAAAGCAGUGGGAAUGUGGCUCCCUACGGGGAGUGUUAUAGCCCAUUGUAUAAUACGCUGCUGGGGAUCGAGGUACGCGCUUCUGCAAGGAUGCUGGCGUAAUGGUUAUCAAUCACCCGUCUUGAAACACGGACCAAGGAGUCGAACAUUUAUGCGAGUGUUUGGGUGUUAAACCCUCACGCGUAAUGAAAGUGAACGGAGGUGAGAGCCCGUACGGGUGCAUCAUCGACCGAUCCUGAAGUUUUCGGAUGGAUUUGAGUAAGAGCAUAACUGUUCGGACCCGAAAGAUGGUGAACUAUGCGUGGAUAGGGUGAAGCCAGAGGAAACUCUGGUGGAGGCUCGCAGCGGUUCUGACGUGCAAAUCGAUCGUCAAAUCUGCGCAUGGGGGCGAAAGACUAAUCGAACCAUCUAGUAGCUGGUUACCGCC
rnacentral:rRNA from 1 species